UUAAGCGACUAAGCGUACACGGUGGAUGCCCUGGCAGUCAGAGGCGAUGAAGGACGUGCUAAUCUGCGAAAAGCGCCGGCGAGGUGAUAUGAACCUUUGACCCGGCGAUGUCCGAAUGGGGAAACCCAGUGUGAUUCGUCACACUAUCGUUAACUGAAUACAUAGGUUAACGAGGCGAACCGGGGGAACUGAAACAUCUAAGUACCCCGAGGAAAAGAAAUCAACCGAGAUUCCCCCAGUAGCGGCGAGCGAACGGGGAGCAGCCCGGAGUCUGAAUCAGCUUGUGUGUUAGUGGAACGGUCUGGAAAGUCCGACGGUACAGGGUGAUAGUCCCGUACACGAAAAUGCACAGGUUGUGAACUCGAAGAGUAGGGCGGGACACGUGGUAUCCUGUCUGAAUAUGGGGGGACCAUCCUCCAAGGCUAAAUACUCCUGACUGACCGAUAGUGAACCAGUACCGUGAGGGAAAGGCGAAAAGAACCCCGGCGAGGGGAGUGAAAAAGAACCUGAAACCGUGUACGUACAAGCAGUGGGAGCCUACUUGUUAGGUGACUGCGUACCUUUUGUAUAAUGGGUCAGCGACUUAUAUUCUGUAGCAAGGUUAACCGAAUAGGGGAGCCGAAGGGAAACCGAGUCUUAACUGGGCGUUAAGUUGCAGGGUAUAGACCCGAAACCCGGUGAUCUAGCCAUGGGCAGGUUGAAGGUUGGGUAACACUAACUGGAGGACCGAACCGACUAAUGUUGAAAAAUUAGCGGAUGACCUGUGGCUGGGGGUGAAAGGCCAAUCAAACCGGGAGAUAGCUGGUUCUCCCCGAAAGCUAUUUAGGUAGCGCCUCGUGAACUCAUCUUCGGGGGUAGAGCACUGUUUCGGCUAGGGGGCCAUCCCGGCUUACCAACCCGAUGCAAACUACGAAUACCGAAGAAUGUUAUCACGGGAGACACACGGCGGGUGCUAACGUCCGUCGUGAAGAGGGAAACAACCCAGACCGCCAGCUAAGGUCCCAAAGUCAUGGUUAAGUGGGAAACGAUGUGGGAAGGCACAGACAGCCAGGAUGUUGGCUUAGAAGCAGCCAUCAUUUAAAGAAAGCGUAAUAGCUCACUGGUCGAGUCGGCCUGCGCGGAAGAUGUAACGGGGCUAAACCAUGCACCGAAGCUGCGGCAGCGACACUAUGUGUUGUUGGGUAGGGGAGCGUUCUGUAAGCCGUUGAAGGUGGCCUGUGAGGGUUGCUGGAGGUAUCAGAAGUGCGAAUGCUGACAUAAGUAACGAUAAAGCGGGUGAAAAGCCCGCUCGCCGGAAGACCAAGGGUUCCUGUCCAACGUUAAUCGGGGCAGGGUGAGUCGACCCCUAAGGCGAGGCCGAAAGGCGUAGUCGAUGGGAAACAGGUUAAUAUUCCUGUACUUGGUGUUACUGCGAAGGGGGGACGGAGAAGGCUAUGUUAGCCGGGCGACGGUUGUCCCGGUUUAAGCAUGUAGGCGGAGGUUCCAGGUAAAUCCGGUACCUUUUUAACGCUGAGGUGUGAUGACGAGGCACUACGGUGCUGAAGUAACAAAUGCCCUGCUUCCAGGAAAAGCCUCUAAGCAUCAGGUAACACGAAAUCGUACCCCAAACCGACACAGGUGGUCAGGUAGAGAAUACCAAGGCGCUUGAGAGAACUCGGGUGAAGGAACUAGGCAAAAUGGUGCCGUAACUUCGGGAGAAGGCACGCUGAUAUGUAGGUGAAGCCCCUGCGGGUGGAGCUGAAAUCAGUCGAAGAUACCAGCUGGCUGCAACUGUUUAUUAAAAACACAGCACUGUGCAAACACGAAAGUGGACGUAUACGGUGUGACGCCUGCCCGGUGCCGGAAGGUUAAUUGAUGGGGUUAGCGGUAACGCGAAGCUCUUGAUCGAAGCCCCGGUAAACGGCGGCCGUAACUAUAACGGUCCUAAGGUAGCGAAAUUCCUUGUCGGGUAAGUUCCGACCUGCACGAAUGGCGUAAUGAUGGCCAGGCUGUCUCCACCCGAGACUCAGUGAAAUUGAACUCGCUGUGAAGAUGCAGUGUACCCGCGGCAAGACGGAAAGACCCCGUGAACCUUUACUAUAGCUUGACACUGAACACUGGUCCUUGAUGUGUAGGAUAGGUGGGAGGCUUUGAAGCGUGGACGCCAGUCUGCGUGGAGCCGACCUUGAAAUACCACCCUUUAAUGGCUGGUGUUCUAACGUAGACCCGUAAUCCGGGUUGCGGACAGUGUCUGGUGGGUAGUUUGACUGGGGCGGUCUCCUCCCAAAGAGUAACGGAGGAGCACGAAGGUUAGCUAAUCCUGGUCGGACAUCAGGAGGUUAGUGCAAUGGCAUAAGCUAGCUUGACUGCGAGAGUGACGGCUCGAGCAGGUGCGAAAGCAGGUCAUAGUGAUCCGGUGGUUCUGAAUGGAAGGGCCAUCGCUCAACGGAUAAAAGGUACUCCGGGGAUAACAGGCUGAUACCGCCCAAGAGUUCAUAUCGACGGCGGUGUUUGGCACCUCGAUGUCGGCUCAUCACAUCCUGGGGCUGAAGUAGGUCCCAAGGGUAUGGCUGUUCGCCAUUUAAAGUGGUACGCGAGCUGGGUUUAGAACGUCGUGAGACAGUUCGGUCCCUAUCUGCCGUGGGCGCUGGAGAAUUGAGGGGGGCUGCUCCUAGUACGAGAGGACCGGAGUGGACGCAUCACUGGUGUUCGGGUUGUCAUGCCAAUGGCACUGCCCGGUAGCUAAAUGCGGAAGAGAUAAGUGCUGAAAGCAUCUAAGCACGAAACUUGCCCCGAGAUGAGUUCUCCCUGAGACUUUAAGUCUCCUGAAGGAACGUUGAAGACGACGACGUUGAUAGGUCGGGUGUGUAAGCGCAGCGAUGCGUUGAGCUAACCGAUACUAAUGAACCGUGAGGCUUAACCU
rnacentral:rRNA from 1 species